GACGAACGCUGGCGGCGUGCUUAACACAUGCAAGUCGAACGGAAAGGCCCUGCUUUUGUGGGGUGCUCGAGUGGCGAACGGGUGAGUAACACGUGAGUAACCUGCCCUUGACUUUGGGAUAACUUCAGGAAACUGGGGCUAAUACCGGAUAGGAGCUCCUGCUGCAUGGUGGGGGUUGGUAAGUUUCGGCGGUUGGGGAUGGACUCGCGGCUUAUCAGCUUGUUGGUGGGGUAGUGGCUUACCAAGGCUUUGACGGGUAGCCGGCCUGGGAGGGUGACCGGCCACAUUAGGACUGAGAUACGGCCCAGACUCCUACGGGAGGCAGCAGUGGGGAAUAUUGCACAAUGGGCGGAAGCCUGAUGCAGCAACGCCGCGUGCGGGAUGACGGCCUUCGGGUUGUAAACCGCUUUCGCCUGUGACGAAGCGUGAGUGACGGUAAUGGGUAAAGAAGCACCGGCUAACUACGUG
rnacentral:rRNA from 1 species